rnacentral:misc_RNA from 1 species
GUGAAUCAUCAAAUUUUUGAACGCAUAUUGCACUCUCUGGUAUUCCGGAGAGUAUGCCUGUUUGAGGGUCAUUAAAAAGGAUCUUUAACCAAUUUUUUUGGUCAAAGGAUAUGAGUUCUGCGUGUUUAUUGUGGUAGUUUGAAAUAAAUGGUCAAGUCUUAUUUUAGUCGAGACGAGUAAUAAUAUUAUUUUUCGAAAUCUACAAUAUGUACUUAUUAAGUUUUGAUGCUUAUAAAUUUGGUUUGUAUGCGAUCAAUACAA